rnacentral:rRNA from 1 species
ACGUAGGGCGGUAGCGUUGUCCGGAAUCAUUGGGCGUAAAGAGCGUGUAGGCGGCCCGGUAAGUCCGCUGUAAAAGUCAAAGGCUCAACCUUUGAAUGUCAGUGGAUACUGCCGGGCUAGAGUCCGGAAGAGGCGAGUGGAACUCCUGGUGUAGCGGUGGAAUGCGCAGAUAUCAGGAAGAACACCAACGGCGAAGGCAGCUCGCUAGGACGGUACUGACGCUGAGACGCGAAAGCGUGGGGAGCGAACAGG